AGGUACACACUUAUUGUAACUGUAUAAAUUAUGCCUAUUACUUAUAUUAUAUUAUUAUAUUAGAUAAUAUUACGCUACUAAAACGUAUUUUUCGUAUGAUAUUAUAAUAAUUAUUAUAUAUUGAUCGUACGAUCAUUGUAAUAUAUAAUCAUCGUUAUAAUAUAUGUAUACACAUAUGCUAUAUAUAUAUAUAUAUAUAUUCUACGUACAUAUGCGUAUGCAUAUGCGUAUUGUUUCAAUGUGGAUUGCCGAUACAAAUACAUAUAUAAUGUCCUUAAUCUAUAAUUAUUAUUAUCGUUAUCGUUAUAUCUAUAUAAUGUAUAAUAUUGUUAUAAACUAUCGAUAAUGAUCGAUGAUCGUCGCGCGUUUACACAUCAUAAUGUACGAGUAAAAAUUUUUGGAAGAAAUUCACAUUAAUAUAUUAUACGAUAAUUAUACAACGUAAUAGGCUUAUAGACGUAAGGAGGUCGACGCAUAAAUGUACCGAUAAUUGUUAUGAUGUUACAUUAUAACGAAAAUAUUCAUUCCGGAAUUCCGAUACCUAAUUGCAUAAGAUUACAUGCAAGGUACCUAACUAAAACAGUAAUCAAAACGAUAGCCGGAAGCGAACGAUUUUUAUUGUUCGUUGUUUCGUCUGACGCCUACAAUAUAAAAUAGUUCGACGUCGAUUGGGACGACGGAAUUGAUUUUUUUUUUUUUUUUUUUUAUGCAUAACAUAUUGCGGGCCGCAGUGGGAAAAAGGGACGAGUGGUUGGCGGUAGAAUGGCGGGGGGAUGGGGGAGGCAUCGAGUUGAGCAGUUCAAAUAUCCGUAUAAUAAUUUAUAUUAUAUCAGCUAUACGCGCGCGCGACACACUGUAUAUUAUAUAACAUUAUUAUAUUAUUAUUAAUUUAUUAUAAUAUAAAUAUAGUUGAGAAUCGCCCGCCCCUUGAGCUUAUUAGAUUAAUUAUUAGUAUUAUUAUUAUUUUUAUUGUUAUCAUUACCUAAAUUAUAUUGUAUUAUAAUAAUAUUAAUAAUUUGAGAGACGUAAACGAGUGCGUUUUAUCAAAUAUUCAUUACAUUUAUUAUAUACCUAUAUAUUAUUAUUAUUAUUAUUAUUAUCGUAAAGAAGAAACAAAACAAAAAAAAAAAAAAUCUGCAGACUGCGCAGCCAACAAAGCACGACGAGCAUUAUAAACAAUACAAUAUAAGCACAGCUAUAAUAAUAUAAUAUGUACACAUUAUAUUAUACAGUUUAAGUGCGAUAAACCGUCAUUUACAAUAAUUAUUAACCUAUAAACGGUAUAAUAUAAUAUAUUAUGUAUAAUAUGGUGUCAAAAGAACUAUUGAGCACGAUGAAAUUUCACAGCAUGUCCCGCGAGACGACAGAAACGGUAAUGUUAUGAAAAAAAAAUAAAACAAAAUACAAUGCACUUUUAAACACAACAAUUUUUCAGGAUAUGCGAACGUAAAAAAGUAAAUUUAUAACGAAUAUAUUGCCUAUCGUUUUCAAGUAUAUAGGUACCUAUUAACUGUACCUAUGCGACUAUAUUAUCAUAAUGAUUAUUAAUGAUUAAACCGAUCACAGACUCGAGUGUACCGCCAAUGAUUCUAUAGUAUAAUACGUAGUUAGUGGCGUGCGCAGCAGUUAUAUUCCCCGGCCCCAUUCAACAACUAUGAGUGUAUUUAUUUAUUUAGUGAUUCGGUCUUGAAACGCGGAAUACCUGCGGUAUAUUAUAUUUCAGCCGAGUUACAACGAAUAAGGAAGAGCCUGAUUUACUAUGAUUAAACAUUGGUUUUUUUGUUUUUUUUUUAUAUAUAUAAUGCCAAAGUCGAGUUGGGUAUACAGAAGACGAUUUUGACAAUCUCUUCGUGAUAAUUAUUUGCUACGUCCCAUUGGAGAUCCCGGGACGCGCCACUGAACUAACGGAAUAUAAUACUAUAAAAUCAACGGCGUAAUUAUUACUUUAUUCUUAUAAUCUAACGUUAUUCCAGUCGAAAAAAUAAAUAAUAAUAAUAGUAUUUCCGGUAUCUAUUAUAUUACGCAGGUACCUAUUUUCAAUAAUAAUAUUGUUCAAUCGAGUUUUUCACGUGUCAACCGUGAUGCUCAAUCGUUAUCAGACGCGCCGAACGCAUUACGAGGUGCGGUAGAAACAACGCACCAAUAUAGCGAUUCAAAUCAUAGACCGUUUGGACACCGAAAAUAAUGGGUCGUGGUAUGUUUGGGUGCAAACAAUUACUAUAAAACCAUGAAAUAUUUGGCAAUUAGAUUUUUAUACAAAUUUAAAAUGACACCAGGAUUCAGGAUUCUAGAGACAUUUUAGAAUGUCGGAAAAGUAAUAAAUUGUAAUAGUUAUUAAAACACUUUUAGAUUGCAUAUGGAAACAUAUUAUAGAUGUAGGGUGGUGGAUUACGGGCCUUUACAACGGAUUUGAAAUCUAUACACAAAUAUAGUAAUCGUUAAUAUAAAUAUCAUCCCUAAGUAAAUAUUAAGUGAAAGUAAAACGAGGUUGAAAAAGUUAUUGAAAAUAUUUUAACAUUUUGGUGCCCGAUCAACACCGCCAUUGUUGAUAAUAACGAAAUCGGCAUGACCAAACGGAUUGUGUUUGUGAAGACUAUUGCGCGUAAACAUUUCGGUGCCCAAACGUCUUGCCCCACGCUAUAGAUUGAAAUUAACGCUUGAUGGUGUACAAAAAUCUAAAAAAUAAUAAUUAUAAUAAAAAAAUAUUUUUUUUUCUUUUUUAACAGACGCUCAAGGCCGGAUGAAGUGUCUGGCAGGCGUCACACAAUGGGACGGAAUGGAACCUAGCUCGCCAAAAACCGUUAAUGGAUAGAUUGUGUGAUCAAAUAUUGAUAGACUCCGAAAAAAAAAAAACCACAGAUAUUUAUUAUAUUCAAUAUAUAACCUAAUAAUUAAUUAAUUAUAAUAAUAAUUUGUAAUUCCGAACAUAAAAUCAUCAUUCCAAGUUGAAUUUCGCAAUUUUUUAAAAUGUAUUUUUCACACUAACAUAAAUCAUACGUACAGAAUAAUCACGGGAGGAGCUUGAGAAACGUUUUUCUGUUAUCGCACCUAAACUCAAAGCACGGAAAUUGCGGCGAUUAGCGUGAAAAUUCACGCUAAUCACAUAUUAAAUAUUGGCAUAAAAACAUUUGCGAAUGCGAAGAAAGGGGGCUGAAAGAAGAGAAGGGCAGCUUUCAAGUUUGCGGAUUUGAAAUGUUGAAAUAAAAAAUAAUUUCAACAUUUCUCGACGACCAAGUUAAAAAUUCCUAUGUAUUUAAAAGAAAGUGGUACGGAUAAGUUGGCCCCAAGUACGAAACUGAAGGUAUUUAGAAUAAUUUUUACAGCAAUAAUUUAAAUUUACAUUAUCAUUAAAAUAUAAUAAACAUCUAUAUUGUAUACUUUAUAAUUAUAAUGUCCGAGAAGUCGUUGUUUUAUAUUUUCAAUCGGUAAAUUAUAUUUGACGAGUUAAAAGUCGUUCCAUCCCAUCAUGUGCCGCAGCCAAACUCGGAAACCUCGAAAACGUCUUUUUUUUAUAUAUAUAUAUAUAAAUUGUGUGUAAAUUUUUGUACUACAAAAUCGAUUACGAACGUUAUUUUAUUUAUAUAGGUAAAUUACGACGGCACGGCGGGCCUUAAAUAAACACGUCUGUGGGCCCGGGGAACGUGCCCCCCUCUUAAGGGGCCUCGUCACUAACGUUCGUUUUCUCUGUCUCCGUCACGACCGUAAUAUAGCAACAAAGGCGAUUCGCUGAUUGAAUUUGGGCCAAACUUUGGGCUAUAUUGUACACAUUUUACAAAGAAAAUUGAUUACCGUAAAUACGCAGAUCCUACGAACGGUUUGUUAAAUAAUUUUCGUAUUUUUUGUCCACACACGCGUGUUCGAUUUUCUCUUAAUUUUAAAACAUUCAUAAUACUAUUAAUACGAAAAUAUGUAAACAAAGAGACCCUUUAGGAUACGUAUUACAGUAAAAUUGUCGUAUCCGUAAAACGUGUCUUUGCCUGCAGAAUGCCUUUGCCGCUGUGUGUGCGCGCAAACACGCAGACGGAGACAACGGAAUGCUAGGGACGGGGGCUUGCGAACGCAACAAUAUUAUAAUAAUAUUUUGAAGUCGGGUCUAAAGCGGUGUACAUGCUAUUAUUAUAAUGUACCUAUAUAACAUUAUCGUAUGACUUUUUUUUUAUUUUUUUUUUUUAUCUAAAAACAAAACCUAAAAUUAUAUAACAAAAUAUCAUACGUCGUCGUAUAAUAUGUCAUUGGGGCUUGCCUUAAUGUUAUCGUCAUCUGUCCACGAACUCCGGCCUUUUGAACAUUAUCGAAACAUAUCGUCGAUAUAGGUAAUAAUAAUUAUUAUGGAAUUAUUAAACGUACCUAUAUAUAUUUAUUAAUACUGUUUUAAUACUGUAAUUAUUUAGCCCUAUACACCAUUAAAUUGUGUAAAUAUAAACUUUAAUCGAACUGUUUAGGUAAAAAAUAUUUAAUAAUAAUGAUAAUUAAAAAAAAAAAAAAAAAACGCCGCGACGACUAGUUUUCAGUAGCAACGGGACGUUUUUACCGUUAUUAUUAUUAUUUUUAAAUCCUAUUUUUCUGAAAGACUGAUGUACACGCGUUUCACGCCGAAAAUCAAAAUAUGUUAUCAUUUAUAACAAUAGUGGUUUACAGGUGCACGGCGGAAACACGCGACAAACGGAAAUUCUAAUAUUAUACAAGACGUAUGUGUAGUGUGUGUGUGUGUGUGUUUGUGUGUGUGUGCAUAUAUAAUAAUAUAUCAGUAGGUAUAUAUCAUAAUUUUUUUUGGCAUAAUAAUAUAGGAUUUUUAAGUUUAAUAUAUUGAGCAAUUGAUUCCGUUAAAUUUGUUUUGACCACCUCCGUCCUCCCCCUCCCACCCCUCCGAGCAUAAUAUAUAAUAAUAUAAUACGUAUAGAUCGAGCACUCUGCACUGAAAACUAGCCGGACGAGAAUUUAUACGAUACGGUACUUAUAAUAAUAUUAUGUCGACGUCAAAAUAAUAAUGCACAUAGACGACCGAUAUUGCUGGCAUAAUAUUAAUACAUAAUAAUAUUGGUAUUACUCGUGGGCGACCUACCUCGAGAUAACAAUAAUAUUACGCCGGACCUGACGUGAACGAUUUUCGCGGGCCCGUAAACUAACCACCAGAUGGAGCCGGUGCGCGCGACGGGACCCGGCGCCGACACGCCGCCGAUCGAUAUGGUAAACAAUACGCUGAUAUUUUCAUUUUUUUUUUUCACCGUACCUACGGCUACUACGACAGCGGUUUAAAGCGAGACUUUUUGAAUUUCGUAUUGCGCGCGAAAAUGCCCGCGGCAUAUUACGUGAAGUGUACCGGUGGCGCUAAAAAUGUUUGUUACAGAAUUGGAUUCUAUGGAAAUUUACAUUGUAAUUAGAGGUACAGGAGCAUCGUUUUCAGAGCUAAACGAAGUACUAACGGACGAAUUUUGGUUAUUCUAGUGUCGAGUGUUCUGUAUUGUAUUUAUUCUUGGGGAGAAUCGCAAGGAAAUCGAGACGAUCGGGAUGGGAAAAUGCGACCCAGUUGAGUGCAAAAGCCGAAAAAGAUAGGCGUAUACCGACCGAUUACAUUGUGCAGCGAAAGAUUUCGAGUGGAUGGAAAGGGGCGAGAGAAUGGGUAUACUGUAAAAAACAAGGAGCAAAACGAGACGGCUGUGCGGAUACGAAAAUAUACGGGACGGAAAAUUGCGUAACGGCAACGAGAUUUCCGGAGAAAAGGCGACGGAUCGGCGGCGUGUUAUCGUAUUAUGUGUGCGGCGUGCGAAAAAGUUUCGCGGACCUCGUCAUUAUCGGAUGGUUUCGAAAAAAGAAAAAAAAAAACCGUUCGACGUUUCUGGAAAAUUAAUUACGAUACAUGCCCGUCGGCGGCGUUGUGUAUACGUGACUCGAAAAGGAAAAAUACAUAAUAAUAUAACAAAUACGUAUUAUAUAAUAAUAUAGAUAACGUUAUCAUUAUCUCGGGGCAUACCGUCCGGAUCGGCGGCGGCGGCGGCGGCGGCGGAUCGCCACGCCCGAGUGGCGACAGUGGCGACACCGUAUCGCGCACACGCGCCCCCAAUGGCCCGGGUGCGCGAUCCGGUCGGGAUUCGAUCGAAACGUCAUACGGUUUGAAAACGUUUUCCCCGUCGAAAAACAUAGGCGUAUUAUCGGAAGUACUCGCGGUCUCCCGUCAAUAUUAAACAACUUUAUUGUGUACACAAUGAAAUGGGAGGAGAAAAACAAUGUUCGUUGAAACGUUGAGCUAUUAUUAUAUAGGUAUACUCUUAAAUAUUAUAUUCUACGGUCGACCGGUAAAAACCGUUCGAACAACGCGUGAAAUUUCGAUCGCUCGACCUUUUCGACCUGCGCAUACGAUCACAUGACCAUUCGAUCAAAUGACCCGCACAUCACGCAUACCAAACACUACUACAGUGAUAAUUGAGCUUAUGUUUUGGGGAAGUAGUUUUUGAGUUGCGGGCGGGCGGGGCGGCGGCGGCGGCGGCGGCGACGACGGCG